ACGGAUAUYUCGGCUCACGCAUCGAUKAAGAACGUAGCARAAUGCGAUACUUGGUGUGAAUUGCASAAUCCCGUGAACCAUCGAGUUUUUGAACGCAAGUUGCGCCCGAAGCCUUUUGGCCGAAGGCACGUCUGCCUGGGCGUCACACAUCGCGACGCCCCCAC
rnacentral:rRNA from 1 species